GCCCCGGUAGCUCAGUCGGAUAGAGCGACGGUUUCCUAAACCGUAGGUCGGAGGUUCGAAUCCUCUCCGGGGUA
rnacentral:tRNA from 1 species